rnacentral:lncRNA from 1 species
GGUUAUUACAAGAUAUUGAAUAUAAUUCCCUGUGCUAUAUACAGUAGGAUCCUGUUGCUUAUCUGUAUUAUAUAUAGUAGUGUGUAUAUGUUAAUCCCAAACUCCUAAUUUAUCUCUCCCCCUGCCUCCCCUUUGAUAACCAUAAAUUUGUUUUCUAUGUCUGUGAGUCUGUUUCUGCUUUGAAAAUAAAUUCAUUUGUUUCACUUUUUUAGAUUUCACAGAUAAGUGAUAUCAUAUGAUGUUUGUCUUUGUCUGACUUACUUCACUUAGUAUGAUAAUCUCUAGGUCCAUCCAUGUUGUUACAAAUGGCAUUAUUUCAUUUUUUUAUGGCCCAGUAAUAAUCCAGUGUAUAUGUGUACUCAUUUCUUUGUCAACGGACACUUAAGUUGCUUACAUGUCUUGGCUAUUGUAAAUAGUGUUGCUAGAAAUAUUGGGGUGCAUGUAUUUUUUUGUCUUUUUAGGGCCACACCUACAACACAUGGAGGUUCGCAGGCUCGUCGGGGUCAAACCGGAGCUACAGCUGCCAGCCUAUGCCACAGCCACAGCAACGCCAGAUCCGAGCUGGAUCUUCAAACUGCACCACAGCUCUAGGCAAUGCCAGAUCCUUAACCCAUUGAGCGAGGCCAGAGAUCGAACCUGUGUCCUCAUGGAUGCUAGUCAGAUUCGUUUCUACUGAGCCACAAUGGGAACUCCAUUUAUCUUUUUUGAAUUAGAGUUUUCAUUUUUUCCAGACACAUAUAUGUCCAGAAAUGAGAUUGCUGGAUCCUAUGGUAACAGAUUCCAUACAGUUUUUAUUUUUUGUAAAAUUAAUGUAUAGGUAUUGUAAAAAAAAAUCGGAAAUAAUAAACAUCAUAGGAAAUUCUACUCAGGUAGAGAUAAUCAAAAUUAAAACUUGGUGAACUGUUCACUGUUACGUAUAAGUAUAUAUAAUAUUUCUGUGCUUGCUCAAUGUCUAUCUACCUACAAUUAUGUAUGAAUUAAUUAUACUAUUUAUGCUACUCUAAACCUACUUUUAUCAGCCAAUAAUAUGACAUGACAAUGUUUCCAUUGCUAAUAGAUACAAAUUUUCAUCACUUAUUCAAGGAUACAUUGCAUAAAUAUAAUUUAUAUAACCAUAAUUUAUCCAACCAUUCCACUUUUGAUGGACAUUUGUUGCAGUAUUUCAAUACUAUAUGCAAUAUUGCAAUGAGUAUCCUUGUUAAUACAUUAUUAAAUUCUUGAUGUCUGAAGGCUCUUUUCACCAAAUUAAAUAUUUGGGGUAGAAAGAAUCCAUUAGAUUCAGAAAUGGUCACAUCAUUGCAAAACUUCAUGAAAAAAAAUUUAGAAUGAACUGAUGUUAUUCUAAAAUGUAGCUCCUGAUUCUGGUGUCUUGAAGUUGAAUAUAAUAAAAUGUUUUCUUAUAGAGUUUGUGUCAAUUCACAUGGGGCUAAAAUUCAGUGAAUAUGCCAGAUGCCCUUUUAAACUUAUUAUGCUAUUAUCAACCUACAAUACUAUAUUUUUAGAACUCUUAGAAAAUCAUUUGCACAUAAGUUUCCUUAAAAUUAUAACUUGAUAGUUAUACCAGCCAUCAAUGCUGCAGAUAUAAAAUCUGAAUAUUGAGCAUACAGUAUAAUUCCUGCUGCUUGAUUUUCAGUGUCCACCAACUCAGUGUUGACGUUGGUAGGAAGCAAGAGAAAAAUGGAAACUCAUAUUGUGGUUCACUCAGUCAUUUGGACAGCUUAUAAAAACUCUUGCACAGUUUACCAAUCUCCAACAAAUUAUUUCCAUAAGAAAGAAUUUAUUAAGGUCAGUGUCUUCAUAUCUUUCCCUCCCUGUGUAUAAUAUUAGCUUUGCUGUGUAGACAAACGAGAGUUGAGAGUGAGCCUCCCUAGAUGGAUAGCCUUAUGGUCUCUGGAUGAAAUGCACUAUGUACAGGAAGAGUAAGGUGUUAUUGGUAUGUAAAAUAGAAUCCUAAAACUGUGAAGCAAAUUCUAUCCCAGGAACACAAGACACCAAAGAGUAAACAAAUACAAACAAAUAAGCUUUAAAUCAUUCAUUUAAAUCGAAGACUUGAAGGCUUCUUAUUUCCUUCCUCCUUUUGGAGGCGGCCCUUCCUUGUCUACAUUUCUUGAUCUAUGUUGGCCUCUUCAAAGCUUCUACAGUCAUAAAAAACUCAGGAAAACAUUUCACCACUUGACAGACCAUCCUGAACUUGGCUGGCUUCAGGAGCUGUGGGGCACCAUCUGUUUACUAGGAUUCCUUGGGUAUCUUGAGGGCCCUUUUCCACUGCAAGAAUGAUAUUGAGGGCUCUGCAACGGAAGUGCUCACUCCUGGACCACUCCAAACAGCCAGGAUUCUCAAGGACCUUCCAGUUUCCAGGAAUCUCAGUGGGGCCCAUUUUAGACUCUGUUAGCUGUUCUUGGGGAAGGAGAUGAAGACCAAACAAGGAGGCAUCAAAAGUUACCCCUUGUUAGACCCUUAUCUCAGAUUCCUCAGGAAAUAGACUCUGACAUGGAGAUUUCGGUGCAGCAGAUUAAUCUGGGUGUGUUUGGGGGUCCAUCUGGUGAGGGAGUGAAAACUGCAUAAUUGGAAAGAAGGGGAUGUCAGACUUUGAGGCAGUUGCAGAGGCCUUAGCCUAUCUUUUAGCAAAGCCCCAGAGCUAGGCUGGCUCUUCGGGGUUGUCCCUGAAUUGAAGCAAGGGGACCUGGCCUUUGUACCCUUCCAUCAACCAAUCUCAGGAUGUAGGCUGCUCCCAGGAGGGGGGUGUAACCUGAUGGGAGGCCAUUCUCUAUGGGGAGGGCAACUCCUGGACAAAGUCUUAGCUGUGAGAUACCAGCAGCCACAUCCCCUACCAGCAGGGGCAUGAGUACCUGUGUCCUGGGGGCAAUCUGGCAGUGCACUAAACCAUCUAUUAGACUCUUUCACUCUCAGGAAUUCCCUGAUGUCCUAGAAAGCCAAAUGCUUAUGCAGAGUUCCAGCCUAAAGAGAUGAUCACCACCUUUGGACAUGGGAAGAGCGUGGGAAGGCAGGCAUUGCAGAGGGACCCCCAAGGUAAGGUGACCCUCAAAUGCAGUAGGUUUUAAAAGCCAUCCAUACACUUGUGUUUGCCAAGAGGGAAGGGAAGGGAGUGGGAUGGACUGGGAGUUUGUAGAUGCAAACUAUUGUAUUUGGAGUGGAUAAGCAUUGAGAUCCUGCUCUGUAGCACAGGGAACUAUAUCCAGUGACUUGUGAUGGAACAUGACAGAAAAUAAUGGGAGAAAAAGAAUGUAUACAUAUGUAUAACUGGGUCACUUUGCUGUGCAGCAGAAAUUGACGAAAUAUUGUAAGUCAACUGUAAUAAAAAAAUGUUUAAAGCCUUCCCAGAUUAGGGAACAUUACAGGGUCAUUGAUGAGGGUGUCCUAAAUGAGUAGGAUUUGGCGGGGGGGUGGGGGAAGCACAAAAUGGGAACUUAUGGCAGGGUCUCAUCACAUCAUUUACCCCUGAGGCUUCCUUAAAUUUCCACUCAGGUGUCCUGUCCACAUCCUGAAGCUCACCCCUGAUGUCACUGGCAGUACCCAUAUAUGUCAACAAGCUUCUUGCUUCUUUCUACUUGAAAAUGCUCUCUGGCUCCUGUGAUAUUGAGCAGAUUUGGAAAACCAGGGAGUUAAUACCCCAGGAUAGACCCUCAAACAACGAGGAGUGGAAGUUGAUGGCUAAAUACCCCAGCCACCUACCUCUCAGUGAACCAGUUUUAAAGCAUGUCCUACACAGAGGGUCCCCAGUUGUCUGCAAUGGUGACCCCCUCACUAAUACACCAUCACUGGCUCUCCUUGUUUCCCUGAUUCUCCUGCUCCUCUCUGGUUCCUGGGAUCAUCUCUCAAUAAACAACCUACAUUCAAAUCUUUGUCUCUACAUCUCCUUUGGAGGAAACUCAAUGUAAGCAAAUAAAUGAUGAAUAUCUUCAACAUUAAUGAUGAAGUCUCCAAAAGUAGGGAGUAAAUAUACUUCCUUGCUAAGGAAAUGCUAUUGCUUUCUCCUCAUCAAGGAAAUGUAUUUACACCCUACUUUUAGAGACUUUCCCAAAUCUUUAUUCACCUUCUGUUCCUUCCUGUUAUUCCAUCCUCAAACCUAAAGUCAUCUCCUCAUAGAAGGGUUCCCUGACCACCCAACCUAAGGUAGCCAACCUUUGGUUACCAUCAUAGAACCCUAUCUUAUUUUUAUCAAAGACCGGAACAACAUGAAAUUAUCUUGUUUAUUUAUCUAUCAUUUACUCUCUGAUGUUUCUGCAACAACAUAAGCUCCAUGGCAGCAAGGUAUCAUUCUUCCUUGCUCUGUUACCUCAGCACUUAGAAUGGUACCUAGAACAUACUAGGUAGUUAAUAAAAAUACUUAAUACUUGAAUGAAUGAAAUGUUCCCUGCUUAUAUGACCAAACAUAAGCGUUUGGGGAAAAAAAAUGAACAUCUGCUCCAAAAUGUAUCGGUCAUUGCUUUAAAACCUCCUAAAAUCUAAAGACUAAAAUAUUAAAUAAACAUGGUGAUGGCAAUCAUUAAGAUGACUAUUGGCUGUCAGGUAUCAAUUGCCACUCUGCGUGGCCUAGAGAUAGACGAUCUAAGGGUCCUGUCCAUUCCAAACAUUCUUAAUACUAAGAUUUCAUUAUCCCAGACUGAGUUAUUUGUUGCUUCACAAUGUUAAAAUAAAAACAGGCUAGUUAAUAAAAAUAAUAUAAUGACAACGAUGACAAGAAGUCAGUGUUGCCAUUCUCUUUGAUUUACAGAGAUUCUCCCGAGGGGAGAUUGAAAGGCAGCUGAUUUCUGAGUCAGGCAAAGAAUUCCAUCAUAGUUAUAGAUACUUCAAGUCAAAUCAGCAAAAUGUGCCAUCCAAGGUAACCCAUGAAAUAUGUUUUGCUAGAUACUACCAGGCAAGGAGGAGGGAGAAACAGGUGCACCAGCAAGGAUACGGGACUGUGCUGUUUUUGCAGGACAAAAAAAGAAGCCAAGGCUGAAAGAUUUAGCCCCUUGGAACGAUAACUUUGUGAGCCUGCAGUGAUUUAUUUGACAGAGAAGAGGAGGGCCAACCCCCUCCUCCACAGAAUCAGCUCCUUGAUUAUAAACACUCAAUAACUUUCAGGUUGAAAAUGCAUUUUCUCCCCUUGCCUAUAUGUUUCUGACGCUUGCUUUAUUAUUUCCUAUUAGGAAAUGCUAUUUAAUUCCGUCCACAGCUUGGCGACCUUUGUGUGGCUUCCCCACUUAGGAAAUUUACAAGUAAAUCACCAAGAAGUAUGUACACAUACUCUUAUAAAAUAUACAUGCGCUUGUAAAUGAAAAUGCACCAAAUGGCUAAAAAAAAAAUGCUACACGCAUUGCAAAAACCAGGCAUAUGUGUGCAGGAGAGGUGGGAGGCAGGUGUUUGGGCAAUCUUCACACCAUCCCAAUAUUUUUCUAAUGGUUUCCAUUUCCAAUGCAAGGGAGAAUUUGGAAAACAUUAGCCACUGUGGUGUACUCUGAGCAGUGACAUGUAGUUGGCAACGUGGUGGGUGGGCUCCCCCCCCUUUUUUCCCCCUCUAACAAAGAAAGAGGGUGAGUUUAUUAAGGCAUAAAUGCCAUUUUCAUCCUGCAAUGUUAACUGUGUGGCUGGGAUCCCCGAGGUACAGAGGCAGUCAAAGCAAACAGCUGUGCCACCUACUUGCAACAGUUGUACGCCCACUACACAGCACAGAGGGGAGGAGCAGGUCAAAGAGAGCCGUAAAGAGGACGAGGAACCUCUCUGAGCUUGCUCCCCGCAGCCCGAGGGAACAUCCAGCCCUUCAGAGGGUAGGUAUUGUGUGUGCAAGGCUCAGAGCGCUGGGCAUUCUCUUGCAACCCAUCUCCUAUAAACCACCUACUGCAUUUUUACAUUCUGCAGUCACAGAGAGCAAAACAGUGUUUAGCAAAUUAACAGAACGCUAAAUAAAAGGCAUAUCAACCAACCUAGCAGGCAGCUUGUCGAUGAUUCUGAGUGGGGGGUGGCGGUAAGUGCCAUUUGGGUGGCAAGUGGUUGCUUUGCCAUCCAAGACUUCUGGGGGGCUGGUUAAGGAUGGGGCGCUCUGGCCAAGCUGUUAUUAGGUUAUCUUUAUGGAGCCUAAGGGUUGCUCCAUGCCUGUCAUGUCAACACAGUACAUAGUUGGGGAAUGGGGUGCACUUGCACAGAAGGAAUCUGUGCCCUGCUUUGCAGACAUCCAGGGGCAAAGAGCUUUUCUCUUGUCACUCAGCUGCUUUGUCAGCCUGUGAGAGGCAGAUUGUGCAGAGAACACCCUCCCUUGGCAAGGCUUCCUCUCAACCUCUUCUGCACUUAAGGGCAGUUCAUAGGAGGAGCCCUGCUAAGGGAAAAGCCUGAGAAGACAAUACCUGAGAAUAUGCUUUUCUUCUGAAAUGAACUGGAAGGGAAAUGGUUCCUGGAAAGGGCCACCAGUGCACCAGGUUCCAGCCUGAUUUGUUCAUCCCUUGAGACCAACGCCAUGUCCUGUGAGAUGACAUGGCAGCCCAGGCUCAGAAGGAGUAAGAACUAAACUUACAACCUGGACCUCAUUGGUAACGUGUCCUAAUCAACUAAGGUCAUGCUGACCUAAGACAUUAGCCCUGAAGCUCUGUCUGCCACAUCCCCAGGUGUCACUGGCUUUCUUCUGUUCCAGUGCUCCAUUCCCAGGCCACCUCCUUCCAUCAGUUGUCCCCUCUAUAUCUUGUCAUGUAAAUAUGACAGAGGCUGUCCAUUAAAAACAAAAAAACAAAAAAACAACAAAAAAACUGCCUUCGUUUCUUCUACCCCAUAACUGCAGGCCUUUUCUGUGCCAGGCUCUGAUCCAGAGAGAUGUCAGUGGAUGUAUAUAGAUAUAUCAGGGGAAUAAAAUGGUCAAGGAACCCUGCUUCGGAAGAGAUUAUAUUCUAGCAAGAGAAAACAGGCAAUAAACAAUCAACACAAUGUUUCAAAUGGCAAAUGUGAUGGAAAAAGAAAAUGUCAUUUAGAAUAAGAAGGAAGUAGUGUUACCACAUGAUCCAUGGGCAUAUAUCCAGAAAAGACAAAAAUUCUAAUCUGAAAAGACACAUGCACC